UGAACUUUCCUCCCGCCAUCUCUGGAGUGCUGGGAGCACAGAUGCUCUCUGAACCAGUGUAUGGGACUGCACUAGGAUGUCUGAUUUGGUGACGUGCUCCAGACCUUCACGUAUUCUCUGCACUUUAACUCCUUGUGGUUCUCUGUCACCGCUCCCUUCCUGCUGCCUGAAGAUGCUUCUUGAUGAGGGUGGAGAGCCACACUGAUCUAUGGAGAAGGUGCAGAGAUAAGUCAUUGUCCUGAACGAGAAGUCAACUGGGACUUGAGGACUGGUAAAGCCCCUGAAGACAGCAUCCCACGAGGGUAGUCAUCUAUGAAGAAGAGACUGCAGUCAAAGAGAUCACCUCCUGAGUUCCCUUCUUCUCUUCAAGCAAUAAGAACUUCUUCAGACCACCUGUGGGAGUGGAGACAAUGGAGGCUUGCAAGUCUCCCCACCGGGCAAAGCUGUGUCCCUAUCCCGAAGAUGCAUGCUCUGAGCAAAUGACCGGCCACAAUGAGGACGCGAUAGCUAACGAUGGGGGAAGACCUUUGACAUGGCCCCCAAGGAAAAAGGAGCUUCCAUCCGGCCCCAUUAACUCUGCCACCAUUGCCUGCAUCUUGAAUAUUUCCAUCACAGCAGACCUUAUGUUCUUGUCUGAUAUAAACUCAGGUUCUGUCCAAGUCAUUGGACAGGUCCAGGAAAUCCGUGCCCUUCAGAGAUGUAGAAGAG